rnacentral:lncRNA from 1 species
CUCCCGCACAUCAUAUUUUACUUGGUAUAAAAUUUGUGCAGUUAGAGAACCAUUUUAUAUUUUCUCAGUGGCAUAAUAUGAAUAUUUAUGAAAGCAUAAUUUUUUUCUCGGAUGGUUUCAACACAUUAAGGAUGAUGUUUUUUUCUCUUGAAGGAACAUUUGAAUACAGAGAAUUACAUUGACAUUGAAAAUUUUCUAUGUAAAUAGUGUGGCUUAACAAUUACGGGCAAAUCGAACGGUGUGGAGGACAUUACGUCUACACCCUAAACGAGAUGGGCGACCAUGGACGUGUAACAUUUAUAGAGUAAACUAUUACUACAACUCAUGUUAAACAAUGGCAUUUACAUUCUCUAUAUCUUUUCUCAGACAUGCCACAUGCAUCCUGGUUUUUCCCCGUCCACGGCCACGUGAGAGAAAUAAUGAACUCUGUUGUACGCAUGAUAUGUACUGAAAGUCCAAAACCAUGUUAUAAAAAUUAGGGUAAAGAAAAUAUGGUGUUGGCAAUCACAUACUCAAAAACUGAGGAAGGAAUGGAAGAGGAGAGACAAGUAAGUUGAGUGAAGGUGGAAACUUUUAGUAGGAGUAGCUCAACUCUCGUAGGCUUGAGAGACAUCAAGAACACGGGGAUCACUAGCCUAACAGAUUGAUGGUUCAAAGUAAUAAUGCUAAAUUAGGCUGAGUGACCACCCACUCCGGUAUUCAUACACAUAAGCAUCAAACCAGCGUCCGAACGCUCACCCCACGGGUAGCUGUCCUCCAUGACUCUUGAGACUGCCUUUUUACUGUGGCUGCUGCUUGCUAGCUACAAUCAUCCUAGUCGACAUGGCCCAACCGACUCAAUUAGCUUCCAGCUCAACUUGAGGCAGUAUCAUCAAUGGAUUUGGAGCUCGUUGAUAGCAAUCACGGAAGAUGAAUGGUGGGUGAUACCAAUUUUUGGUUGCAGGAGACACAAUUUGGGCAUCUCGGGGAUCGCCUUCGCCUUGAUCUCCU